AUGUCCCUUCCAGCGGUCAGCCGCAGGGGACAAGACCAAAAGGCCGGGGAAAACGGGAUCCGACGGGUCGCAGGACGCCGUCGGAGCCCGCGGGAGAGCGAUGCAUCGCAUAUUGCCGAUCCCCCGGCCAUUUAUUCGCUGCCCGACGCUCAGAGAGCAGCCGCGGCCCGUACCCGCCCGGCGCGCCCCGACGACGGCACCGCCCGGCCGGCCGGCCACGCUCGUCCCGCUGAGGCUUGGCGGUCCCGGCGCGCCCCGAGACGUCAGCACGCGGCCGGCCAAUCCCGCCCCCGCCGUGGCCCAGUCGGUCCGCCCACUCCUCGCUCCUCCGCCUCCCUUCUCGAACAGCCCGGCCGCUUCUCGGAGCCGCUGAGUCACGGUGAGGCGGCUCCGCGCAGGCGCACUCGGCCGGCCGCGGGGCGCGGGAAAGCUGAGUCACGGCGGCGAGGCCGCGGCCGUGUGGAGAGGCGGCCUCACGGGAACCCGCGCUGGGAGAAGGCCCGAGCCCGCGCCGCAGAGGGGCCACCGCGAGAGGUGUCACCAUGCAAGGGGAUGGUCACCUGGAUCGAGGCAUCAGGCUGCUACGCGCGAUGGAGAGGAGCACGCAGCAGUGUAAGUCUUAGAGCGCCACAAUCCGGGGGGCCCGGUGCGGGACCACACUGCUACUUCAGAAAUAGACGUUUGGCCUGCUAGAUCUUCAGGACUAAACUACAUUAUUCUUCGAGACCAGCAUUCCUCUUUUUCUUCUAUCACGGUUGAUUUUCCGUUUUACAUGCUCCUGGAAGACACUGGAGAAGUAGAGCUGCAUCUCGUAGCCAAUGCACCAGGAAGUCAGACCCAUUUGACUCCUGCCACCAAGCGGUUAGAGGCAAGCAUGACAGCAAACCAGACUGGACUGGGCAGGCCCCAGAGGGAUGAAGACACUGAGCCAGGCUUGACGUUCCCGUGCGUGAAGCACAGCCACUUAACCUCGUUUCCAGAGCGCGGCAUGCCUGCUGUGCCGCACAUGUUUCCAAACCCAAGUCGGGCUUUUUAUGGGUGUGGUUCGAGGUUGUCUCAACCACCUGCAGACCGGGCUGGUUGUCAGAAUUACUGUGGGUGUUUUAAAACGUAGAAAUGCCAAGGCCCCAUCUCAGCCUAAUGAAUUAGAAUUUCCAGGAUUGAAACCCAGGCCUCUGUAUUUUAAACAUUUCAACAGGUUGGGAGCCACCGUGCUGAGCUGUAAGUUGAGCACUGUAGUGCCUGCUGUGGGCACAUGGCUGGUGCAUGGAAAGUGCACAG
rnacentral:lncRNA from 1 species